rnacentral:rRNA from 1 species
AGCGAACGCUGGCGGCAUGCCUAACACAUGCAAGUCGCACGGGGGGGCUUCGGCCUCCCAGUGGCGGACGGGUGAGGAACGCGUAGGGGCCUGUCGAGGGGUGGGGGAUAACCGCGGGAAACUGCGGCUAAUACCGCAUGACGCCGCGGCGUGACAGCCGGGGCCAAAGGCGAAAGCCGCCCGCCGAGGGGCCUGCGUCCGAUUAGCUGGUUGGCGGGGUAGCGGCCCACCAAGGCGUCGAUCGGUAGCUGGUCUGAGAGGGUGAUCAGCCACACCGGGACUGAGACACGGCCCGGACUCCUACGGGAGGCAGCAGUGGGGAAUAUUGGACAAUGGGCGCAAGCCUGAUCCAGCAAUGCCGCGUGGGUGAAGAAGGUCUUCGGAUUGUAAAGCCCUUUCGGCGGGGACGAUGGUGACGGUACCCGCAGAAGAAGCCCCGGCUAACUUCGUG